GGUUCCCGGAAAGUCACCUACACCCUCCACACAAAUACAAACCAGAAGUCAUUCGUCAGCCAUUAAAGAACCCCAUUAACAUUACGAAUAAGGAUGCUAUUGGCGUGCAUUGGCUAGCACAAGCAUAAGCAUAUAAAAUAGUUGAAAAAAUUUUACUUUAAGUAGGCAUCUGAAUCACUCGAAUAAACUUUAUGUAUUAUAUAUAGAGCAACUUAUCGGACACUCUUGAAUUGAAAUGGAUGCGAAAGAUAACAGAACCCAGAAAAUGAAAGUUAACGAAAGAGUAAAUACUCACAAAACCGUAACCUUUUGAU
rnacentral:misc_RNA from 1 species